UGUCUCCUCCACCCUUCCAAUUGGUGGAUUUAGCCCCGAGCUGCAAGGCUCGGGGCUUUUUUC
rnacentral:ncRNA from 15 species